rnacentral:rRNA from 1 species
AGCGCAACUGACGCUGAGGCACGAAAGCGUGGGUAUCGAACAGGAUUAGAUACCCUGGUAGUCCCACGCUGUAAACGAUGAUGACUAGCUGUUGGCGAUACAAUGUCAGCGGCACAGCGAAAGCGUUAAGUCAUCCACCUGGGGAGUACGCCGGCAACGGUGAAACUCAAAGGAAUUGACGGGGGCCCGCACAAGCGGAGGAACAUGUGGUUUAAUUCGAUGAUACGCGAGGAACCUUACCCGGGCUUGAAAGUUAGCGACGUAUCUGGAGACAGAUAUUCCCGCGAGGGCGCGAAACUAGGUGCUGCAUGGUUGUCGUCAGCUCGUGCCGUGAGGUGUCGGCUUAAGUGCCAUAACGAGCGCAACCCCUAUCGUCAGUUACUAUCAGGUAGAGCUGAGGACUCUGGCGAGACUGCCGCCGUAAGGUGCGAGGAAGGCGGGGAUGACGUCAAAUCAGCACGGCCCUUACGUCCGGGGCUACACACGUGUUACAAUGGCCGGUACAGAGGGCAGCGACGCCGCGAGGCGGAGCGAAUCUCCAAAAGCCGGUCUCAGUUCGGAUCGGAGUCUGCAACCCGACUCCGUGAAGCUGGAUUCGCUA